UCCCGAACUCUGUGUGCCUCUAAGAGAACAGUAUGGGAGGAAAUGGCACCUCAGUGUUGGGCAAAUUUGCAUCGCAGCCCAUAGCCUCUUGGUAAAGAUUUGUUAUUCUAAUUCAUGGCUUGGACACCUGGGUGAUUAGUCUCCAGAUAUCCGCACAUGGCCUUCUUAAAGAAGGACCGCCGAACCUCUACCCUUGAACAAGGGCCUUCCAUUUCCCAGAGGCCCUCUCAGUAAAUCUUGGCCUUUUCUCCUGGAGUCAGGUGGAGAACCCUCUUUCCUAGGCCUUGGGAAUCUGUGGGAACUAAAUUUCCCAGAACGCCCAGCGUUAAAGACGGCAUCGCUGAGCCAAUGAAGGCUUAGAAAAGAGGUGUUUCCGUUUGAGCACAAAGGGUUGGGGCGGGGCUUCCUGUGUCCAGUCUGUGGCCAUCGUUUUGGCUGUCGGCAGGUGUCUUCGCCUUGUGAGACGUUCCGGAGGGCCGGGCCGCGGCGAGAAAGGAGGCUUUGUCCCGCCGUACGGAGGCGAGUCUGGGGGCGGAGACCUCGUCGCCAGCGAGACCGGCCUGGAGACUUCUGUGCCCGUGACCGUCGUGUUCACUCAGCUGUCAUCACUUCACUCCGCCCACAGUCCGAUGGCGGUGGCCGCGCCCAGAGACCCGGCUGAGGAAGGAGGUGAUGUUACCAAGGUCUUAGAAGACGUCAUCUGGCUUCAGAGUGGAAAACAGACUAUGAGCUUGAGGGAGCAAGAAGGACAAUCAUUGUGGUGGCUACUGCUAUAGUCCAGACCUUGCCCUCCUUUGCAGAAAGAACAGAGUCCUCCUGCACAGCACAUAACCAGGACCCCGCCGCACAACUACCAAGCACCGAGACAACAUCUAUAACUGGCACCAUCAAGUUUGCCCGUGACCAAGAAAUGUUGCAGGUCACGGCACUCCCUUUGCUGAAUAGCUGUCCUAAACCCCUUUACCAACCCCUGGGCCAGGUAGAAACCUCAGAGUUGGCGUUUGAACAAGACUCCUCUUCUCCCCAGGUUGCUACCCUUGUAUAUAAAGCUCAAAUUCCUUUCCAAUUAAAACUGGUCUCUUGAGUAAUGAUCUUUCAGGCGACUGCCAGCCAAACUUGGGUUCAGUAACACUUUCUUUGUGCUGAUCCCAGAAAUUUGCUAUAGACAUAAAAUACAGAUGAAAUAAUGUGCACCCAGCUCCCCAGGACCAGUAAUAAAGUACACGGGGUGUGCAGUUUUGUAACUGAUCACAGAAAGUUUUCAAAGACUAUUCAUUCAUCAGGCUCUCCAGAGCAACAGAACCGAGAGAGAGAGAGA